rnacentral:lncRNA from 11 species
CAUGAAGGGAAGAGAAGUAACCAGAAGACCUUUUUUUGAUUGUUUCUCACCUUUUUGUGCAGAUUCCAGCGAUGCAGAGCAACUGUCUUCUAAGACAGAGGAAAAGACGGACGAGAUUCCAGGAUCCCCAAAGAAAUGGCAGGAGGUUAACAUGAAAAGGAAGAAGCGGGUUCUCAGUGAGACGGACAGCGAAGACGAGGUGAUCUUGAUCAACAUAAGCGACGACGAAUCCGCCGAGGAGAAAGCCAAUGCCAAUCUGGAUGUCAAAGGGAAGAGGAAGAAGCCAGAUGCUGACGAUGCAGGGCAGUUGUCCCCCACGAGAGAGGAAGGGCAAGAGAUUCGAACCCGUGGGAAUGCCGGCUGGGAGAACUGCUUACGCCAGAAGCCCCCUCCCCGCAUCGUCUUCCAGGCAGGACCCGCCUCGCAGGACAAGAAGAGCAAGGACGACGUGGAGAGCGUGGAGAGCUUCAAGGAAAGGCACAAGAUCAGGUAUUCCAGGAGGAUCUCCAGAAACGGGCCCAUCAAUUUCUCAGAGGACGAGCUCAGCGAGUCCAGCCGUGUCGGCAGCAACAGGAUCCCCAACGGAAAUCAUGAUCCUGGGCUUCUGAGAGGUUGUAAAGAAUACCAGGUAAAACGGUAUCCCCUAUAAUUAAGAACGUUUUGGAAUAUUUUCAAGCCACAAAUGGUGGAAUCCAUGGAUGCUGAACUGGCU